UAGUUGGAUUUCUGUCAGUAACUACCGGUCCGCCCUUCGCGGUUGGUACUCGUUAGGCUACUGGCAUCUUCCUGGGGACUGUGUCUGCUCUUCGUUGAGUGGCGCAUAAUCCAGGACUUUUACUUUGAGGAAAUGAGAGUGUUUCAAGCAGGCAUGCGCCGUGAAUACGUUAGCAUGGAAUAAUAGCAUCGGACCUCGUUCCAAAGCUGUUGGUUUCUUGGACCGAGGUAAAGGUGAAUAGGGAUUGUUGGGGGCAUUCGUAUUUAACUGUCAGAGGUGAAAAUUCUUGGGAUUUUGGUUGAAAGAACGGGAACUACCUGGCGAAAAGCCAUUCUGGCCAAUUGAAUGUUUCUCAUUGAUCAAGAACGAAAGUUAGGUGAUCGAAGACGAUCAGAUACCGUCCUAGUCUUAACCAUAAACUAUGCCGACUGGAGAUCGGGGGACGUUAACUUUGUGACGCCCUCUGCAUCUUGAGAGAAAUCAAAGUCUUUGGGUUCCGGGGGG
rnacentral:rRNA from 1 species